ACGAACGCUGGCGGCGCGCUUAAUACAUGCAAGUCGAACGAGAACCUCGGGGCUUGCCCUGGGGGGACAGUGGCGAACGGGUGCGUAACACGUGAGCAACCUACCCCGGAGACCGGGAUAACACCGGGAAACUGGUGCUAAUACCGGAUGUCGUCAUCGGAUCGCAUGGUCUGAUGAGGAAAUGGAUUCCGCUCCGGGAUGGGCUCGCGGCCUAUCAGCUUGUUGGUGAGGUAACGGCUCACCAAGGCGACGACGGGUAGCUGGUCUGAGAGGACGACCAGCCACACUGGGACUGAGACACGGCCCAGACUCCUACGGGAGGCAGCAGUAGGGAAUCUUGCGCAAUGGGGGAAACCCUGACGCAGCGACGCCGCGUGCGGGAUGAAGGCCUUCGGGUUGUAAACCGCUUUCAGCAGGGACGAAAUUGACGGUACCUGCAGAAGAAGGCCCGGCCAACUACGU
rnacentral:rRNA from 1 species